rnacentral:lncRNA from 1 species
UCAAGGACAAGGGAGGAUAACAUAUGGAUGAGAAGCUACAAACCAAAGGAAAUAGAGGAGCAAUGGGGAACAAGUGUAAACACCGUAUACUCACACCCAAAACCUCUAAUUCCAUCCUCUUUUUGACUCCUUUAUUCACAAAACAUUUUUUUUUCUCUCUUUUUUUUUAAUUUUUCUCAUUUUUCUGUAUAUUUUUUUUCCUUUUUUUUUUCUUUCCAUCUUAUCUCUUUUCUUUUCUCUCUUUUCAGAACACAACUCUAAGAGACAAGAUACACGACAAGAUACACGACAAG